UCCACUGCCUUAGCACAGGAAAGGGGUGUGAUGAAAUGUGGGGGAAACGAGCUUCUUCUGCCUUUUACUUUCUGGCUAACAGGAAGUAGAGUGUGAAGCUCUUCUUGGGUUUGAUUUUUUGUUCUUUGAGUUAUGCUUUUCUCUUUCUCACAAAGGAGUGAGACAAACAAGGUGCCCAUCCUCACUGUCAAUCAAUAGUAUUUUCCGAGGGUUUUCUCUGUGCAGGGCACUGGACUGAAUGCGUUGGAGAGUUUGAUAGAAUUAGUGGACAUUGCCCCUUCUCUCAUGGACCUUCGGGAGGAGGCGGAUGCUAAAAUGAAUUACAGGCCAGGAGGCUCAGAGAAUGGAAGACAGUCUGGACGUUUGGAGGAGAGAUGCCUGCAGCAGGAGUGUGAGUUAAUAAAGGAGUAAGCCGGUCUGGACUGCUGUCAUCUCUGGCAGAACAUUCACAUUCCUUGUGCCUCAGUCAACCCAGCUGGAAAAUUGGGCAGAAUCGAAACCUUCAAUGAAAAGCAAAUGUCAGCUGAGGACAGCUCUCCCAGUUGAACGCUGAUCUGCGGGGGCUGGGAGCUCCCUCCCUCUCCCUCUUGGAGCUCUUUGGGAGGAGAUGAGAAGGUACUGUCUGUCGAGUAGCUCAUAGGUCUUGAAGGCACGCCGCUGGAGAUUCUGGGCCAGCGACCCAGAGGUUAGAAAGGGCUCUGGUGGAAAGGGCCAUUUUAGGAUAAGGGGAUGGCUAAGAAUAUGGGCCUGGGGAGCUGACUUGAGGCCAGAGAAGGAUUUAAUGGGAUGGUGUUUUGGUGUCUCCGUCCAUUUCAGCAGAGCUGACUUUGCUUCCAGCUACUUGUGAGAGAGACUGAUUUACAUAUGGAGUCAUUUCAUUUGAAAUUGACUUCCUCCGGUUGUGUCAUGCGGAUAUAGAAAACCUAGCAAGCCAACAAGAUAACACCAUGCCAGAAGCUGCUGUGAAAGCAACCAGGGACCUACUUAUGGACUGAAAUGACUGCAGCAGAGUGCUCAUGCUGUGCUGAAGUGCCAUGACCGGCAGAUAGGUGCCUCGGUAAUCAACCAAUGAAUAUAAGACGACCGUUGUAUUCGAGAAAGAAGACAAAUGGCACCCAAACUUGGGAAAGAGUCGUUGGGGCAGUUGAGUCUCCAAGCAACCAGACUGAUUGGCAGAGACCGGAAUGAGGUCACUUUGGAAUGUUCAGAACCCAACAAGCUCAGUCUUGCUACUAGGUAACAAAAUUGAAGAUUGAAAGAUGUACAUGGAGGACAGAAGAGAAAAUGGAGGAGAAUGCAGGAAGUUUUGGUUUGACAUGGGGGCUGCUAUAAUGCUGAUGAAAAUGUAUGUUCCUUGAAGAAGUAAAGGCAAGGAGAUUGGUCAGGUCAUAAGACUUUCUGUGGGAGGUGCAACAGAUCCUCAAACCUCUUAGCCACUUGUAUUUCUUCUUUAUAUCUACACUCAUCCUCUUUUAACUUAUUUUCCAGCAAUUUAUCUCAGUUUGCUUUUCCUCUUAGAUUUUUGGUCACUAGGUGGGAGAGUUGGGAUGGGCUUCCAAAGGAUGGGGCAGAGAGAACAGGCAGGAGACAGAGAGAGGUGAAGUGAAUAUACUUGAGGAAGAAGGCAUGAGGGGAGUUGGCAGGUUUGGGUGAGAAAGAUGGGAAGAUAAGGCUGCUCGCUGAGGGCAGGGAAUGUGUCUACCAACUCCGUUAUA